rnacentral:sRNA from 1 species
UCGAAUUGAUUACAGCUCCCACUAUAAAAUUCAGAUCACUUUUUCACCAAAUUGAUACUAACAAACUGAGUUAUCAUUUUUUAGCAUUGCAAGCAUUAAAAUUCAAUUUGAUUCACCAUCUGUUUUUCAAUGACGCAUAAUUUCGCAGCCACAUUAUACACAUCUGUUCUCGAUUUACACUAAAAAUGUUGCAAUAAAACAAAUCUUGCACUUAACUCUGUAUGGAUGUUUAAGUUAAGAAUACCAAAGGCCCCAAAACCACCAAGCCGAACUUUCCACCAGACAGAUUGAUCGCACAGCAUUGAAACUUUUGGAGGGUGGCAGCCGAAGUCGAGGACUCUUUUAGCUUGUCCUUGGAAAUUCUUAUAAAUUACGAUGACAUCCGCUUGCAAGGUGCCAUAUGGGCAGUGAUGGCUGCACUCAUUUGAUCAUAACCAACGACUUCAAUACAGUACGCCCGGAAUUAAAAGAUUUACUUCAGAUCCGGGAGGUAUUACCUAUAAGAUGAAAUAUCCUAUAGAGCUAAACUUUUUUAACAAAAAAAUGUUUGGAAAAUCACUCAGAAAUAAAAUGGCAUUAAACAAUACUAAGACUUCGAAAAGCAAAAAGGGUGAAACAAGUAAAAAAAAUCAAGGGUGUUGAUGCUUCAGUAUCAUCUUCACGUCAAUCAAGCAACCUAACCAAUUUGAUUAGUAUUUUGGUUCGCAAGGGAAUCUGUGAAAUAAAAGAGGGACACACUAGCGAAUUCGUGAAUCUGGAUAAUCUAAAGGAUAUCGUGCACAAGCUCGUCGCACGAAAUCGAGUCCAAUCUCUCGUUUAUAGUAACGACAAGCAAAUAUAUCAGACCGCAUAGCUGCAGUUGAACUGUCGGUAAAUGAACAUCUGAAAGAUAAAGAAUAUUUGAGUGACUACUAAAUGGACUUCGAUUCAAGCUCUAUCCCAGAAAAAUGAUGAAAUUUCACCUUCGCAUUCACACCAACUGAGAAGAGGGUAACUCGACUAUAGCAUUCUCACUUGUUUUACAUUACUGAAGGGAGCUUGCGUCCUUCCUUUCUUAUUUCCCUUCAAAAGAAAGCCUUAAAAAUUUUGUAUUUUUAAAUAUGUUAAGGAAAAUAAAUCCCAUAUUUUUAGAA